rnacentral:rRNA from 1 species
UUGAACGCUGGCGGCAGGCCUAACACAUGCAAGUCGAACGGUAACAGGAAGAAGCUUGCUUCUUUGCUGACGAGUGGCGGACGGGUGAGUAAUGUCUGGGAAACUGCCUGAUGGAGGGGGAUAACUACUGGAAACGGUAGCUAAUACCGCAUAACGUCGCAAGACCAAAGAGGGGGACCUUCGGGCCUUUUGCCAUCGGAUGUGCCCAGAUGGGAUUAGCUAGUAGGUGGGGUAACGGCUCACCUAGGCGACGAUCCCUAGCUGGUCUGAGAGGAUGACCAGCCACACUGGAACUGAGACACGGUCCAGACUCCUACGGGAGGCAGCAGUGGGGAAUAUUGCACAAUGGGCGCAAGCCUGAUGCAGCCAUGCCGCGUGUAUGAAGAAGGCCUUCGGGUUGUAAAGUACUUUCAGCGGGGAGGAAGGGAGUAAAGUUAAUACCUUUGCUCAUUGACGUUACCCGCAGAAGAAGCACCGGCUAACUCCGUG